GGCCAGAUAGCUCAGUUGGUAGAGCACCUGACUGAAAAUUCACGGGGCUCGGGUUCGAAUCCUGGUUUGGUCA